rnacentral:tRNA from 1 species
GCCCUGGUAGUUCAACUGGAUAGAAUAUCGGUCUUCGAAACCGAGGGUUGCAGGUUCGAAUCCUGCCCGGGGCG